CGGAGAUUAUGAUCUGAACCGAAAUCAAGUGUCAGACACUUUAACCAGCUGAGCCACCCAGAUGCCAAUCACUAAAGUUUAUUGUACAAUGUGAGCUCAUGAGGACAGGACCCUAAACAUGCAGAUGCUUGAACAAUGCCUAGGAGGUACUAGUCAUUCAAUUCAUAUGUGUUGAAUGAAUGAACGCAAGGAAAGAAGAAAAUGAGGAAGGAGUCUGAGCUCGAUGUCCUUUCACCAAUGGAAUAUAGUAUACUUGGAGACUACUUAAAUGAAGAUGCCAGUGGGUAAUAUUUUAUUCAGCCUACUGUCCUUGCAAAGCAUGAAGCUUAACCCCGGUAGCCUUUUCUACUCAUUAGAAAGCUAUGAGUUCAUUAACUGUCAUAUUUAAUCAAUGGAAUUCCUAAUCCGAGAUGUUUAUAAAUAUAGCAUCAACACAGAAAACACACACUACCAUUACAAUGAUCAAUUUUGAAUUUUUUUCAUUAACAUAGCUUAAUACUUCAAGUUCAAAACCUUAAAAAUUGUCUAAA